GUGACAUGGUGAGGUAUUGUCCUGUUAUUCAAGGCGGUGCCACUGAUGAGGCGUUUGAGGCACUACAGGAACAGAGUUUUCCAUGGUAGAGAGGAGCUGACUGUUGGCUUUUUAUCUUUCAAGACCUUUUACAAGUUCAAGAAGGAAAAGAAUGACAUAAAAAAAACCCAAAAACAUAAUAAGUCUCCUUUUUUACUUUCACAGUUUUCGAUGUACUCUGAAACUCAAGCAUGUUUUUCCCCCCUGUAAAUCCAAGACUCUUGACCUUUUUCUCAUCAGAAAAUAAAGUUCUGUCUGUCAGGGAGCACACAACAGCAGCACUCACUUCAUUAAGGUCAAAUGCCACUUCCAGUGAGAACAGCCACUGCUGCUUACGCCUUAGGCUGGCAGGUGCAUGAGGUGGUCAACAAAUUGCUGUGAAGCUUGCUGCAGAACCUGAUUCCUCAUUCUGUCUCUGAGAAUGACAGUGAUCUUAGGAUGCAGUCAAGGCUGGUCUGUCUGCAGCAGCUCCUAUCCUCGGAAACACACCCUGAAGUUUGUCAGUGUUUAAAGUCCUCCCUCCAGACUCGGCUAAGGCAAGAAAACCUGCCAUUACAUAUUACACUCACAGCCGUGACACUUGCUGUUUGGAACUCAGUGUGUGAAACGCCACAGUGCUGUCAUAUGGGAAUAACAUCAACUUGACAGGUAACACUUUUUAAGUGUGCUCGUCAUCGGGCUAUUUAGAGACUGUUAAGAUACAGUCGGACUCAGUUGACAUGAAGGACCAAGGUUGCCCCUUUAGCAUUUUCAUCCAUGUGUAUGUUUUUACACAGCAUAUUUAAACAUUACUUAUCUACUUCAUAGGUUCAACAGGUAUUAACAGCAGGCAUUGAUUUAAAAACACCUGUAUGUGUUGGGUUAGUUAACACAAUGGCCCAGUAUGAUUCUGGUCGGGCCAAGCCCAACUGGCUUAUAUCACAUUUUGACAUCAAGUCAAGCAUCUUCAA